rnacentral:lncRNA from 1 species
AUGUUUUUAAUUAUCCCUUUCACUCUUUACCAUUUGAUUUCUUUUCAAGCCGAUGGCUGGGGAAUACACAGCUGGGGAGAUAAUAAAGCCUUCCUGUGGCAAUUAUCGGUGCUCAGGCCACCGUAUCUCGUUAUUUUGAUAGACAGUGAACUUGGCGCGGUUGCCGGCCGGGUUCACGCAGAUGUCACGGUCCGUGCUGUAGGUCACAAGCAGGUCAGCGCCCGGCAAGAGGAGAGCGCCGGGUCAGGGCGCGGCCGCCGCUCCCGGCCAGCACCGGCCGGGCCCGCCGCGAACCCCGAGGGGCUACCGCCUCCGGGGCCUGGGGAGUACCCUCCGGGGGGGGGUUCCCUCCUGGGCAAGGGGCUGCGGAGGCGGGCAGCCCCGCUUCGGCAAGGCAUCGUAAGAGGAGGGCGGGUCUCGUGUGAUGCGUUGAUUGUUAGAAAAAUAAUAAUUAAAAGUGACAUCUCUCUCCCCUACACAGACACGCACACACAAAACUUCCAGCGUUUAUUGAGCUUGUCUGGGAACAAGAAAGCAAAAGUAACAGGGAGGGAAGAGAUAAAAACCGUAAAGAAAAAAAAGUGUAUUGGCAGCAGCUGUGGCUGGCGGAGAGCUCCACGGCCCCGCAGCCGCCGUCCGCGCCGGGCGCCCCUUCCCCAGCGGCCGGCGGCUCCUCCGCCGGUACCCAGCAGCAGCCCCAUCCAGCGCAGCCCUCCCGCAGCCCCGCUCCCACCGCGCUCCUCCUGCCCGGAGCCGCCGCUGACGCCCGGAGCGCAGCGCCGGUGCCCGCCCGCCGGUGCCAGCACGGAGCCCCUCUGCGCCGCGGCUGCAGGCGAGGUGCCCCGCCGUGCCAAGCGCCUCUUCCCGACCGCGGCAGCCCCGACGGGAUGCCGAAGAGCCUCAGGAGAGGGCGGGCAGUGGAUCCCGGGGAGAGAAGCUGGGCACGGCGGGUCUGGUGUUUCCUUUCCGCGCUCACCUCCUUUUCCCUCGGUGACCUGCGCUUGA